CUGCUAGACACAGAGAAAAAUGACUGAUAAAUUGUCAAUACAGGAACAAAUGAAGAUGUGGGUGAUGCUGCUCUUCCUGGUAUCGAUGAUGCUCAUCCUGCCCAGUGAUGUAGGAUUUGGAAACCCACAUGAUGCCAAAGUUAUCCUGGCUCGCCUGAUGGGGAAACCCUGUGGUUGCCAGGGUGGAACACACUCAGUAUCUCCCUUUAGUGGAUGGGUCAUACAACAGGAAAAGUGUUGUUUUUAACGCCAAAAGAUCAGGAAUCAUUCAGGACAAGAUCAAAAGGCUUUAGGAGAACUUGGAGAGGAAACGGCAGGACCUCAGGGAAAACCUGCUGUGGACUGGCUUAAAAUGGCUUCUUAUCCUAUCUCCUUCCCCUGCUUGGGCAUCUCCUCCUCCUCCUCCCUAUCCUCACUAUCGGGCCCUGCAUGAUUAAUAAGGUCAUGCAAUUUGUUCGCCAACAGGUAGAGGAAGUACAACUUCAUUAGGUCAAAGUUCAUUAUCAUAGGCUCACUACUCAGGAGCCAGGCUCCUUGUGACUGGCAGUCCUCAUACAAGCAUCCCUCCUCUGCCCUCCACCUGACCAGUGACAGGCAACUUCUCAGAUAGACUGGGACAUCCUAAGAUAGGUCAUAGAAUAGUCCUUCAACGAGCUGGAUACAUGGUACUCAGGGACAGGUAAAGUUCCCAAUGGGGGACCACCUAAGACAGAGGCCAUGAUUUCGUACAAAAACAAGAGGGGGAGAUGUUGGGCCUAAGAAAGGCUUGGAUGCUAGGCCCAGUGUAAUCUCCUGAGCCUGACUUGAGUUUGGGCUCAGAUGUGAGGCCCAGUGUAACCUUAUGAGCCUGACUAGAAUUUAGUGACCUGUCUCUAACCUGUAACCUCCACGUGGGGGUGACUCAGCCAGAUCUGAUGCAAGAUUGCCCCCUG